rnacentral:ncRNA from 2 species
GCACAACGACAGGGGAGCGCCUCCUGCUCGUCCGCCGGGUUCUCGGACCCGGUCGGGCGACGCGGCCGGCGCUGAGAGUGCGGACCGCCGCAGACCCUCGAACCUGAUCCGGUCAGUACCGGCGCUAGGGAGUCGAGUUUCUCGAAGC